GUGCCAGCAGCCGCGGUAAUACGUAGGUGGCAAGCGUUGUCCGGAAUUAUUGGGCGUAAAGCGCGCGCAGGCGGUCUCUUAAGUCUGAUGUGAAAGCCCCCGGCUCAACCGGGGAGGGUCAUUGGAAACUGGGAGACUUGAGUGCAGGAGAGGGAAGCGGAAUUCCAUGUGUAGCGGUGAAAUGCGUAGAGAUAUGGAGGAACACCAGUGGCGAAGGCGGCUUCCUGGCCUGUAACUGACGCUGAGGCGCGAAAGCGUGGGGAGCAAACAGGAUUAGAUACCCUGGUAGUCCACGCCGUAAACGAUGAGUGCUAGGUGUUAGGGGGUUUCCGCCCCUUAGUGCUGCAGCUAACAGCAUUAAGCACUCCGCCUGGGGAGUACGGUCGCAAGACUGAAACUCAAAGGAAUUGACGG
rnacentral:rRNA from 1 species